UACGUAGGGUCCGAGCGUUGUCCGGAAUUAUUGGGCUUAAAGGGCUCGUAGGCGGUUUGUCGCGUCGGGAGUGAAAACCAGGUGCUUAACACCUGGCCUGCUUUCGAUACGGGCAGACUAGAGGCAUUCAGGGGAGAACGGAAUUCCUGGUGUAGCGGUGAAAUGCGCAGAUAUCGGGAGGAACACCAAUGGCGAAAGCAGGUAACUGGACUAUUACUGACACUCAACUGCGAAAGCUAGGGGAGCAAACAGG
rnacentral:rRNA from 1 species